rnacentral:rRNA from 1 species
UGAUACCCUGGUAGUCCACGCUGUAAACGAUGUCGACUUGGAGGUUGUGCCCUUGAGGCGUGGCUUCCGGAGCUAACGCGUUAAGUCGACCGCCUGGGGAGUACGGCCGCAAGGUUAAAACUCAAAUGAAUUGACGGGGGCCCGCACAAGCGGUGGAGCAUGUGGUUUAAUUCGAUGCAACGCGAAGAACCUUACCUGGCCUUGACAUCCACGGAAUUCGGCAGAGAUGCCUUAGUGCCUUCGGGAACCGUGAGACAGGUGCUGCAUGGCUGUCGUCAGCUCGUGUUGUGAAAUGUUGGGUUAAGUCCCGCAACGAGCGCAACCCUUAUCCUUUGUUGCCAGCGAUUCGGUCGGGAACUCAAAGGAGACUGCCGGUGAUAAACCGGAGGAAGGUGGGGAUGACGUCAAGUCAUCAUGGCCCUUACGGCCAGGGCUACACACGUGCUACAAUGGCGCAUACAAAGAGAAGCGAACUCGCGAGAGCAAGCGGACCUCAUAAAGUGCGUCGUAGUCCGGAUCGGAGUCUGCAACUCGACUCCGUGAAGUCGGAAUCGCUAGUAAUCGUAGAUCAGAAUGCUACGGUGAAUACGUUCCCGGGCCUUGUACACACCGCCCGUCACACCAUGGGAGUGGGUUGCAAAAGAAGUAGGUAGCUUAAC